GGGAAUAUUGGGCAAUGGAGGAAACUCUGACCCAGCAAUGCCGCGUGAAUGAAGAAGGUCUUCGGAUUGUAAAGUUCUUUAGUCAGGGAAGAAAAAAAUGACGGUACCUGAAGAAUAAGCUCCGGCUAACUACGUGCCAGCAGCCGCGGUAAUACGUAGGGAGCAAGCGUUAUCCGGAUUUAUUGGGUGUAAAGGGUGCGUAGACGGGAAAUUAAGUUAGUUGUGAAAUCCCUCGGCUUAACUGAGGAACUGCAACUAAAACUGAUUUUCUUGAGUACUGGAGAGGAAAGUGGAAUUCCUAGUGUAGCGGUGAAAUGCGUAGAUAUUAGGAGGAACACCAGUGGCGAAGGCGACUUUCUGGACAGUAACUGACGUUGAGGCACGAAAGUGUGGGGAGCAAACAGG
rnacentral:rRNA from 1 species